GUCGAUAGGUCUGCUAGCAACAGCCGUGCUGCAGCAGAGAGAGAGAGAGAAAUCAAGAAACAAGUCAUAGCAACACCGGGCACCAGGUUCUGCCAGCUCACUUGCUGAGCGUUCAGAGAUCUGUCAGGGCCAGAGGCCUCUGGGUAGCCUAGGCUAGGAGAUGACACGCAAGGUGGCACGGGCGGUUCCCGUGGGGAGGAGGUGGGGUGGUGGUGGGGGGCAGGGGUGGGAGCAAGAGGUUGUGGGGCGACGGUGGAGGGUUUGAUGGGACCAAAUUCUGGAACAUUCGGGACUGCGGCACCUUACGGCGGGACCAAGAUUUGGGUCUGCGCAGGCGGCGAUGGGUGGUCCGACGGGCUUCAGGACUUGAUGGCGUAACCCCCUUCUUCCCCCACAUUUGCAUUGACGUCCGGGGCUGUCCAGAGGCCCUCAAGAGCCAGUUGUGAGCUGAGCCCAGUAUGGGAAAGAUCUACCUUCUGGAAGCUACUACUACGUGGUGCUUGGAAAGAUGACUCAGUGUAUCGGGAGCCGGGAGAUGGAGCUCUCAGCAGAGUGGCCAGGAUGUUCUGUCAACAUGAAAGCUACAAAAACAGCUCGGGGCUCUGAGCUGAUCCUUAGCCUGGGGUCAUUUUCAGGGAGGGCUGGACAGAGAAGGCGGCCACCGCCCGGGCAUCAGGAUGGGAGCGACACCAGAGGACUCAGGAGAGUGCAGCUUGCUCUGUGAGUGGGUGACAACCUCUUGGCGACUCAGGCUCAGCUGAGGAUGGUGCCAGUGUGCCGGAGACAGCCGUCAUACUGCCGGAUAGAGUGGCUCACUUGCAUGUAUUUGGAACAAAAAAAGGAGAUGCCUGGCAGCCCCGCUCUCUGCAGUGCUGUUGAGCCACCAAUUUUUGUGGUUUUGUGACCACAAGUGCUGACUGAUGCGACAUGACCCCAGUCUUGUCAGUGAAUCAUCACCAGGCUGCUUACUGGAAACUGGAUGCAGCAAGGAAAUAGGAUUUAACCGCUCUCUGCCUCCCAGGUAAGUCCAGUGUGGGCUGCUCCCUCCAGCCUUCCCCCAUCCUCCUUCCUUCCCACGAACACCAUUUUCCUUAUUCCGCCGGGGAAUCCUCAGACGUCUCCAUUCAGAAUCUCCCAAACGAUUGUUCUCUUUUUUGCAUUCUUCUCCUUCUGGCUUUUCUGUGUGGGGUUAGUAACCAGCACAGGGUUGGGGGCAGAAUGGGCAGCUGAAGUGGUCGGGCUGUGCGGACGUGUGGGAGAUAGCUGGGUAGUGUUGCUGGGUGUGGCAGUUGGCAGAGCAUUUGGGCCUCCCACAGUAAUAGAAACUCUCUUUGGCUCCAGCAUCCAGCAGGAGGUUCUGGGUUUAACCCCUCGGUAAUCCUGGGAGCCUUCCUGGUGCCUGGGGAUUCUCUCCCCUGUGUAGUCUCAGUGGAUGGCCUGUCUUAACUCUAGAUACAUUUUGCCUUGAGGGGGCUUAGUCUAGGUUGGUGGUCUGGAGUUUGGACUGGGCUGAGCAGUGAGCUUUGGGACUCUCCCUAAUUUUGGGGUUUCUUUGAAUGAGCCACUUUCUUCCUCUAGGCCUUCAUUACCUUUGCCUUAAAAAACAAAAUCCCUGGUCCAGUAAGCCAUUGCAAAGCAUCUCUAGGAAGUUGACAAAGAAAUGCUUUUCUUCUGCCUCACUUGCUGCCGAUCACAGUAAUAGCAAUGGUGAUUAAAAAUGAAAAAUGAUGACGGCCUGCAGAAUCAGGGAGGUCAGUGGCAUCAUUGAUACAAUUCACAAAGCAGACUCUCGGUGCCCACACAUCACUAGGAAGUCUCUCUCCUAUCGAGUAGAUGACUACAGCAUUCUUGGCCAGUAAAGCCAGUUGGAAUUAGCCAACAGCAGAUUGGUCUGGGCUCUAAAGAUAAAAGGAAUUAUGUUGGGUAAUUUUCGGAGGUACCUAUGGGAUCCUACCUCUGGCCACACAGUGGUCGCCUCUCUCUGCUCAUAUGUUUCGGUGGGGGUGGGGGGUUCCUCUUCCCCAUGCUGCUCCCGUUGCUAUCCAGGGAAGAUUGGCCAAUUCUGCUUCCUGUUAUUUCUUCUUCUCCUCUGUCCAUUUGAGGUGAGUCUCUAGGUUGGCUGUGAACAGCCUGAGGAACCCAGGGCUGUUUGGAAGAAUCUGAUGUCUCUUCCUUCAAGGACCCUGACAGGUCUCAGCCCUCCAGCAGUACUGCAGUGAGGGAUGGCAGGGGGUGUUGGAGUGGAGAGAUAUCGACUUGGGUGCAGCUGGGGAGACUAAAAGGAGUGAGCCAAGUCCCUCAAGAAGUGUUGGCUAGAGUCUGGCCAGCCCUGGCUGUAGGGCUGGAGCCAGACGUAGCUGCUGGCUGUGCUUGGGAGUCUCAGCCCUCAUAUGUGCAGUGUGUCCCUGGGCAUGGCUCUUCGUGAUCCCCACUCCCACGAAUAGCCCUGUCCUUGGUUAGAUUGGGAAAACCAGGGUGGGAAGUAAAGGGGAGGUUGGUUUUGCUCGUGGUCAUGCAGUUAUCUCUCUGGCCUCUGAUGUUUCCAGAAUUGGGAUUGGUGCUUCCCUGCUGAUUUUCCUAUUUUUGUCCCUCAUCUGGUUCUUUUCCUCCUUGCUCACCAGCCUGGGUUCUACACACAUGACAUGGGGCAUUGUGUGUUCCCAAUGAGGAUAGCAGAACAGUUGGUAUCUCCUGAGAGAGGGGCCAGCAUAUCUGGCACUUUUUUCUUGACCUUUGAAUUUCUGAGGUCUGGGAGUCAGGAGGCAGCAUGGGGCCUCUCCAUCCGGGAUCCAGCAGAGGUUAACAGAGUUGGUGGCUCUGGAGCUGAGGUGGUGUGGCUUGGCUGGGAGUUGUGGGGGAGAGGCCCUGCCAGGGGCCCUGAUUGGUCAGUACCUUCUCUAUUCCAUUGAAUCCUGGUCCGGUCAGCUCUGUGAAUUGUUUAAUGCAUAUCUUGGCUCUGUCCCCUGGCUCGAGUGUCCCUAAGGCUGCAGCCACAGCUUUAGAGAGGAUCUGUACCUUGUGCUGGUCACUUUUUUUGGGCGUGUUACCUCCCUCUGAGAUAUGUAAGAGAUACCACCCUUUCCCACCAGCCGGCUGUCUGUGGGAGGCCCUCAUUUUGCUUUGCUUUUCUGAGACUUGGAGUGACUGUGAGGAAAGCAUGGACUGAGUUUGCUUUCUUGCUGGUUCCUUCCACAAGAGCUGCUCAUGGGCUGAUAAAGCCAGAGAACACCUCCAGGGCCCCAUGGCCUGUGCGGAGCCUGGUACCAUAGUGUCAAGCCUACAGGGAUGGACUGGGGACAUGGGGGCAGAUAGAGCCACGUGGGGAGGUGGUAUGUGUGGUUAGAUCACAGGAGCAAGUCCAGGAGGGUGUGGGAGGACAAGUCCAGUGCUCAGCCAGGGCUGCCUGUCAUGGCCCAGGAUGGAUGUGUGCAUCUCCUGUGAAGGAUUUGCGUCUGAGUGCCUGGUACUGAAGGUAGGAUGGUGCCCCGAUCAGGGUCUAUAAUGAGGCAUGAAGGUAUGAGAUGGGCAUCAGAGUUGUUGGUCCAAGGGAAACUGACCUUUUUAAAGGGCUCUCCUCUCCUUAUCUGAUUUCAUCCUCAGAACAACCAUAUGACAUAGGGAUCACUUCCCUUUUAUAGUUAAAGAAACAGAUUAAGUGACUUAACCCAAGGUUAUGCAUUUGGUAAGUGAGGUUGUUGAGAUUUAAAUGCAUGCACUUCUUAUUCCAAAGCCUCUACGUUAUCUUUACUCUUUUGGGCUGAAGUCAGACAUUUUUGUGAACUAAGAUUCUCAGAGGACUGAUGUGAACCAGAGUGAAAAGGCAGACACCCGAAGGAACUUUCCAGUCACUGGGGACGGUUGUGCCGCAUUCCUUUAGGGGGAGGCAGGGCAGACCCAAAUGCCCUUUGGUAGCCAUGGACAGGCAGAGCUGAGUAAGGCCAGUACAUGGCGUCUGCUGCUGUGUACGGAGCCUCUGCUAUGUGCCAGGGACUGUGCCAGGCGCUAGAGAUACAGAACUUGACAAAGCCAACUUUCCACUUUCAUGGGGCAUACAUUCUAGUGUGGAGAGACACCGCUAAUAAUGAUUUUUAAAAAGAAUUUAAAAAUGUACAGGGUAGACAUAUAUGGAGAUUGUGUGGGGAUGAAAAGGGGGACCCCCCACACACAUAAGGAGGAGAAUUCAGAUGAUGGUCAGAGGGUUCUAGAGACUUAGGACCUCAGCCAUCUGAAGCCACAUCAAUUGAGCUUUCCUUCAGGGAGUUAGGACUGACACAAACUAACCCCCUCUUUUUUCCUAAUAACUUGGGAAAUCCAUCCAAGGUCCCCAUGGCUUACAGGAACUUGUCGUGAGUCAGGGAUCAAGGUGGAGUAGAUGUCAAGCCUUUGGUCUCCGGCAGACUGGUUCUCUCCUGUCUGCCAUGGUUGCUGUUGGCCUUCUGCCUCACACCCUCCCAGGCACCAGCUGACUUCUUUCCUCAGCCUGGUCACUGUGCCCCACACUUGUCCAUGCAGCACAGGGAAACGUGCAGGUUAGGUCUUUGCCGAGCCAUUGGUCAAAUGUUCCUGCAGGAGGCUGGUUCUGAACUCAGCCUGUCCUGCCAGAACGAGCCGUUCCCAGAGCUAAUCGUCUCACGAUAGGGAAGGGAUGGGCACCAGGCAUAGAGAAGUGACCUGUGCCAGAUGCUUGGUUGAGCUGUGUCUUGAGAGGCGGAGGCAGGUUGGUGGUGCUGGGGACAGGGCAGGCAUGUGUCAUGUGUUCAGCGCAUGUAGCUCCAGGGCUCGGGACUUGUUUACUUGGUGGAAGAGGCAGCGGACCUGCGGAGUCAGGCCAUGUGAUUGUUGGCUCUUUGGCUGAUCAUGGACAGCUGACCCGCCGGACUGCACACACUGCCAUCUGCUGCCAGGGGUCUGAAGUUGCACAGGGAUGAGGUAGUGUAGUUGGGGGUGCUCAGGGAGGAGGAGGGUCAGGAAAGUGGGGUUUGUGUUGCUCUGUGUUGAGUCAGCCGACCCUGAUUCUGGUCCUAGCUCUUGUUGGUAAAAACUCACUCACUUUCCUCCUUUCAGCUCCAGUUUCAUUAUCUAUGAAAUGAGGGGAUGGAACCAGAAUCUCUUUGGAGGUUCCAGCUGUAUCCUGGGGCCUCCCUGAAUGUUCAUGGAGAUGUUCCUUAGCCAGUAAUUCAAGAUGAGGAAAACUAGGCCCAGGUUUCCACAAGAGAAGGGGAGGGAUCUUGAUGACCUGUCUCAGAGCGGCUGAAGUGGUACUGUUGGAAUUAGGGUGGGUGGGUGGGAGGAGGUAGUUUUUAAAGACCUCCCAGAAGUGGAAGCAGAGGGCUGGAGGUUUCGUGAAGGUGUUGAUGAGGAUCCACCGGGUGGUAGGGGACAUGGCUACGCGCUUCCCCCGGGAGGCUUGUUGGAGAUGGGUUUAUGUGGGAGCUGCUGGGGGUGCCUGCUGUCCUGCAAGGGGCUGACCCAAGGGACCCUGCUCUAGGAAAGAUGCUCCGUCCUGUCUGGCCCUAAACCCUGGAGAGAGAAUGCAGCUGUGGUUUGAGGGAGGGUCUGUGCCCCUUGCUGUCAGGAAGUUUUCCUUUAUAUUUAGCCUUCUCUUUUCAUGUAUUUUUUGAGGCCCUCGACUAAAAAAUUAAAUUUAAUUUUAAAAAAUAACAAUGAAAAAAAUAAAAAAUAAACAAAAAUAUCUCAGAGCCACUGGUUCCAUUUUGGCUUUUUAGUCUUGAGUCACUCUUAAAAAGAUAGCAAAAUAAAACACAUGCAGGAAAGCCGAAGGUCCCAGGCCCAGCCAGAUGGGGGCUAGGAGUGGCUGGGACUCUGGCCUAGCUUCUCCAUGGCAGCGUUAGUCCCAGACGUACACCACUUCUGCAAGGCUGUGUGGGUAGGAGCCCCUGGGGCUGAGGGGGCACAUUGUGCAAUCUGCUAAGCAGAAUGUAGAGUUUUAAAAUAGCUACCUUUCUCCAAGACACUAUCUGCUUGCCGCUUUGUGGGAUGUUUACCUGGGAUUAAUAAUAGCUGAGUGCCACCCCACUGCCAGUAUGGAAUAGCAAACAGCGAUCUGGGCUAGGACUCAGGCAGGAGAGGAAUGGAGUAAUAACCAUCGUAUCAGCUCACAUAGUUCUUUUCAUACUUGCUGGCUCAUUUGGUCCUCACACAACCCUGAGAGGGUAGGUGGUCUUAUCCUUGUCGUUGGUAAAACUGAACCUGAGAGUCAAUCCUGCCAAGAUCUGACUGCUUGUAGCCGCUUCUCGUGGGUCUCCCAUCUAGGUCCUCUGACUUCAGCUGUUAUUUCUCUGGGUUCUGACUAGUGGGGCAGGGACAGGAGUAGGGGAGUGGAGUCUUUGGCAGUUUCCUUAAUUUCUGAAGGCCUUAGAGGGCCUAGAGAUGCCUUUUCUAUGUGUUGAAUGGGAAACGGAACCUCAGCAUGUCCAGGUUCUCCAACUCUCUGAUUCUUCAGACUUCUUGGAGCUCUUGUGAGAACUGGCUUGCACUUUUUGGCUGGGAAGCCAGCCACUCACCAUGUGUUCUUGGAGAGGUUUCCUGUAUUUGGAAGCUUCUGGAAUAUGUGAUGCAUCAAACCACUGUGACACAUCUGUAUGGCACCUCAUGCCUAUGCACACAGGCAUGCUUCUGCUGAGUGCAGCUCACUUAGAGAUGAGGCCCAGUGUAGGGUUUUUGAAAUUUUUCCAACACAUUUGUAAGAGAUGCCCUGAGCCUUGCCCAGCAUGCAUGUUGUGUGUAUGCUACCUGUUUGCUGGCUAAUGUACAGCGCCUGCUGGAAGCCUUGGCUAAUGUACAAUGUAAAGUAAGGGACUAGAAACACUGGCUUUAGUUCUGAGUGUCUGCUUCAUGAUUGACUUGAAAAAGUAGGGCUUACCCACAGAGAGAAAGGUGGGUAAGAGAACUCGUGGGUGUCAGUUUUCCUUAAAGGCAGAGCAUAAUCCCCCACUCUUUAUAAGGGCUGGUAAGGCAGAGUAUUGGACAGCAGGACUUCUUGGCCAGUUAGCCCUCUUGAGUGACCUUUGUUUAAAUAGACCCAGAACUUGUAUGAAGGAGGAAAUAAUGGUUUAUCUUUAUUUACAGCGGAUUUAGCCAUGAUGGUUUAGGCUUUUUCUGGGGGUAUUCCUUUAGGACAGUUGAGGUUGGACAGGGGCAGCAUGCAUAUGUGUCUCUAAAUGUCUGUCCUUUGGUAUUUCCUGAAUGCAUCCUUGGCUCAUACUGAAACCCUGUGAUGGGGAAUCCACAGCGGAAUUGUUUUAGUGGAUAAAGCCUUCUGUAGCUUCAUGUGUGAAGAUUUGUCAUGUUGGAUCCAGUUCAUUCUGUCCACUUGAAGGAUGGAAAAGAGAGUGGGCAGAACUUGCAGCAAGGAGAGUGAUUUGGGCUAGACUUCUGGGAGAACUGUGCAUCACCUCUGCUGAGGGUUCCUGAGGAAAGAUGAAGCCUCUUUAUUUGAGGUAGGAGACUCGGUGUCCUCCACAGGAUCCUCCCAGUCCCAAGUCUGUGGCACUUUGAGACAGUCCCUGGAACAGCAUGAGGUUUGGGUGCCAGGAUCUAGAGCAGGCAUUUCUCUCCAUCUUUCCCAUCUGUCUUCAAGACAGGCCCAAGCUGGAUGCAAUUGAGGGGAUGCAUGGGCAGGGUACACCAAUGUGGUCAUCGAAUCUGGAACUUUGACCUUGUUUCCCUUUGCAGAGAGAACUUCUGGCACUGAUCUUAUAGGAACUGGUGUUAUUUGCAUAUAAAAAAAGAGAAAGGCAUGUUGUCCCUCAUCUUUUCCAGGAAAGAGUGCUGAGCUGCUCUAAUCCUAUGGUGGGGAGGGAGGAGGGCCGUGUAGAGGACGCAAGGCCAGACAUGGUUUGCUGGGAAGAAGGUAGGAGGUGGGAGAGGAACAUCCCAGGGCAGGCCCACAACUCUGGGAGCCACAGACAUUGCCUGCUAUACUAAAGGCAAAGGGAUGUGUUCAAAUAGGCCUACUAUUUAGCGGUAACCCACAGUCUGAAAUAAAUCAGUUAAUGGCUAAAUGAGAGUUGUAUUAAAUAUGGAAAAUCAUAUUUUUUGUGUGUCAUCACCACCUACAGAUUUAGCAUCAACAGGCCUGAAAGGCUGAGGAUGCUGAAAUGGGCCCUGUCCGUAAGAUCAUGCUUAUUUUAUAAUGACUUUUUGUCUCUUUUCAUUACUAUUUCCCACUCUUAUUCCUUAGGUCUACGUGAAUAUUUAUUUAUGCAGUUGUGUUAUUUCCUUGGGGUACAGUUCUUCCAGUGUCAUUGGCAUCAAUGAAUAUGUGACUUUGAUUUCAAGUGUAAACAAACCACUGGUUCACGGCAGGGACAAGCCAUCUCUGAGACAAGGGCUCCAGCAGCUGCCUACAGAUGCCCUUCCCCCAAUAGCCCUGGACUGUUUCGGCCAGACGCCUGAGACGAGAGUCAAGGGUGUUCUUGCAGGGACCUGCCCAACGCUAUGUCAUGUGUCCUGCCUGGAGGGUGGUGCUCACACAUGCAUCUUCCAGCCUUAUUAGCUGGUACUGCUUUUCAGCUUGACCCGAGGAGUGGUAUUGGAAGUUUGAGACCGUACAUCCCUUGCUAGGUGAGAAGGGGGUCAGAGAGGUCAGGCACAGACAGAGAAGGGAACGCAGGCUCCUGGCCACUAGCCUCUCUCAAGACAGGUGAACUUUGUGUUAAGCGAACUCAUUUAAUAUUUUGGGCCUAAUAGAAGUUAUUUGUAUUUUCUCUCCUCUCUUUUCCCUCCUCUCUCUCACUCACCCUCCCCCCACUCCCCAGCCUCCAAAGAAUUUAAUCUGCUGGACAACAAACAAUACUGUUAUAAAACUUUGAAAACAAGAGGGCGCGGCCUCCCUGACAAGGAGAAGGGCAUGUUGGGUAACGGCCUGAGGGAGCGUGCCAGGCCUGAGAUGGAGCCGGGCGAGAGCCCAGUUGGCUGGGUACCUGGGCGCCUGCCCCUGCAUAGCCCACUAGCCGCGCCAUCCCCAGGCCAGAGGGGAAGGAACCAAAACAAAAUGGGGGGCAGAGAAACGCUUGAAAAGGGAAGUUGCACAUGUUCCCCUCUCUCUGAUCUGAUGGGAAUGCACUAGACUGUGAAACUUCCUCCUCCACCUCUUCUCCCGAGUCCCUCCCUCCCUCUUACCCUCCUUCCUCCUCUCUCCUCCCUCCUUUCUCCUCCUUCCUCCUCCUGCUACUCACUGUUCUUGAGUCUGGCAGACAGAGGUCCUGAUAGCAGAAUGAGGCUGGAAUAGCACCAUAGGUGCAGCUACCAGCUGGGCCAGCCAAAGAGGAAGGAGAGAAAGUGGGCUUGCAGUUGGCUUUGGAUUCAAAUCUACCCUCUGUCUGGCCCAGCCUCCCUCCAUUCUAUUAGGGAAGUGGAACUACAUCACGCCACAGGGUGUGCCCAGUCCAUGUGUGUGGACCAGGUGUGUGCCCAGGUACUGGGGAGAACUGCCACUCAGAGAUUAGUUCAGGAAGCACCCUGGGCUUCCUGGUGCCCCCCUUGGGCUGUGCUCUGCUCUGGGGAGAGUGUUUGACUUGUUGAAAUGCUCUCUCCUUUGAGAUGCUGUGCUCUCCCUCCAGGGAGGAGCAGAGGCUGUGCUGCAAGAGGCUGGGGCAUGUCUCUGGAGGAGCUCUUGGGAACAGGAACGUGCUUCUCCCAGCGAGAGCAGCCAUGCCGUCUUGUGAGUGUGGUGCCUGGUAGGAUACUGCAUCUGUUAGUUACUUCCCAGUGGCUGAAGGAAGUGGUCACCAGCUCUGCCUGGGGGAGGUGGGGGAGCUGGGCUUUGGGGCGUCUCCCUCCCUACCUCCAGAGUUAGGUUUCACCUGAGACUGUGGUUUCACUUUUGACUCCAUCUUCACUGAGUCAAGCAGAUGAUUUAGGAAUGACCAGGGAGCAGCAUUGGUGGUUUGCCUUUGGAUCUGCAUUGGUUUGGACCCAUGAACUCUGUGGUGGGCAUUGUGUUUGUGUAAUAGACCAUUGGUAUGCUCAUUUUUCCUCUUGCAGAAAGCACUAGCUUUCUUGAAAGCAGUUCAGGGACAUGCCCAUCCUUCUGUGCCAGAGCUGAGCCCUUCUACUGGGGGAACAUGGAGACACGCGAGCUCCAGUCUUCAUUCCACUCCUCCUCCUUCCCUUUGCCCUCCACUGUCUCCUGCUGUCCCCCCAGCUCAUCCCAGGGGCAGGGUAACCUUGGUGCAUCCUCCCAUCCAGCCAGCAGUCCCGACCCAGGGCCCCCGUGCCUGGACUGAGUCUGGGGUUUAUGUCAGUAGUGUUAAGGGAGGGAUGGAAAACUGAACUUUUAGGAGUGCAGCUGCCUAGGAACAUAGACCUCCAUACCUCUGACGCAGGGGAAACCAGAAAAACCGAUGCUGGGUCCACGUAGGCUUGGAAGGCUGUUACUUUUUGCCUUCUUACCUGAAUAGGAAUUUGAGGGGCACUGUGGGUUUGGAGGAUGUGAUUCCCACACUGGGGCUCAGGGCCUGGGAAAUGCAGUGGUCCCUGGGUUCUGAGUCCUCCUUUGAAGGCCACCCUGCCAGAAAGGAAGAGCCUGAUGGAGGUUUCUGGGGACUUUGGGCCAGCCGGUAACUCCAUGCUCCCUCUGCUCCACCCUUGGCCCCUCAUGUGUAUACCAUUCCUUUUAUCACCCUUCCCUCUGAUUCACAGCCCCCACCCUGACAGCUAAAGACAGAAUGCCCAGGCUGCUGCCUAGAAUGACAGGAAGCUGGACUGCCCUUUCAGUUUAUACAUGCAAUGGCCUGGGACUGUCUCUUGAGGGCAAGACAUUCCCCUUUUACAAAAGAGCCUUCCCCAGGCCCCUCUCUCACCAAGAUGAGCUCUUCCUUGCUGCCAGGAGCCCUGAAAUCAGCAUUCCCAGAGGAAAGAAGAUGGCCAUCUGGGCUUGGCUUCCGGCUCCCCCCAUCUGGCUGGAACACACAUCAGUCACGUAAGUAGCUGUGACUCAGCACCCAGCACUGCCUUGGCAGAACCUUCCCACGUUCUGGAUUUGCACACACUGUGGUAGCGCAGCACAAGCAAGCAGGGUUAGGUAACUGGGGACCAGUGUCUGUUUGUUCAGUGGGUUUGCCUAUGGAUUUCAGAAAGAAGGAUUCCCUCACCUUCCCAUUUUCCUCCCAUGUUAUUUUUUAGGUACCAUGCUAGGCUUUAAAGACAAAGCAUCAUUUAUAGAAUGAAGUAGAAGCUGUCUUUGCAGUCUCCAAACUAUUUUUAACCAACAGCCUAUAGAUGGUAUUUAACCCUCAGGUGUGUUUGGCCUGCACGGGUUUUUGUUUUUGUUUGAGACAGGGUUUCACUCUGUAGCCCAGGCUGGAGUGCA
rnacentral:lncRNA from 1 species